rnacentral:rRNA from 1 species
UGGGGAAUAUUGGACAAUGGGCGAAAGCCUGAUCCAGCCAUGCCGCGUGUGUGAAGAAGGCCCUAGGGUUGUAAAGCACUUUAAGCAGGAAAGAAAAGCGCCGGGUUAAUAACCCGAGCGUGUUGACGGUACCUGCAGAAUAAGCACCGGCUAACUUCGUGCCAGCAGCCGCGGUAAUACGAAGGGUGCAAGCGUUAAUCGGAAUUACUGGGCGUAAAGCGAGUGUAGGCGGUUUCGUGUGUCGGAUGUGAAAGCCCUGGGCUCAACCUGGGAAUUGCAUUCGAAACUGCGGAACUAGAAUAUGGUAGAGGAAGACGGAAUUCCACGUGUAGCGGUGAAAUGCGUAGAUAUGUGGAGGAACACCAAUGGCGAAGGCAGUCUUCUGGGCCAAUAUUGACGCUGAGGCUCGAAAGCGUGGGUAGCAAACAGGAUUAGAUACCCUGGUAGUCCACGCCGUAAACGAUGAGAACUAGACGUUGGUUGACAUAGUCGAUCAGUGUCGCAGCUAACGCGUUAAGUUCUCCGCCUGGGGAGUACGGUCGCAAGACUA